GUGAUGAGUCUGACAGUCAUGGAGAGGGGUGUCCUAAGUGGCCAGGUCUGA
rnacentral:snoRNA from 1 species